AGUUAAUGAACUUGUAUAAGUAUAUAUUUUGAAAAUAUAAAAAAGGAAUUUCAACUUCCUAUUGACUU
rnacentral:tRNA from 1 species